AACGAACGCUGGCGGCAUGCCUAACACAUGCAAGUCGAACGAUAUCCUUCGGGGUCUUGUGGCUCACGGGUGCGUAACGCGUUGGAAUCUGCCCUUAGGUUCGGAAUAACAGUUAGAAAUGACUGCUAAUACCGGAUGAUGACGUUAAGUCCAAUGAUUUAUCGCCUGAGGAUGAGCCCGCGUAUGAUUAGCUUGUUUGUGUGGUAAAGGCGCACCAAGGCGAGGAUCGUUAGAUGGUCUGAGAGGAUGAUCAUCCACACUGGGACUGAGACACGGCACAGAAUCGUACGGGAGGGAGGAGUGGGGAAUAGAGGAAAAUGGGGGCAAGGCUGAAAAAGCAAUGACGGGUGAGUGAUGAAGGCAUUAGGGUAGUAAAGCAGUUUUAACCGGGAUGAUAAUGACAGUACCGGGAGAAUAAGCCCCGGCUAACUACGUG
rnacentral:rRNA from 1 species